GACGAACGCUGGCGGCGUGCUUAACACAUGCAAGUCGAACGCUGAAGCUUGGUGCUUGCACUGGGUGGAUGAGUGGCGAACGGGUGAGUAAUACGUGAGUAACCUGCCCUUGACUCUGGGAUAAGCCUGGGAAACUGGGUCUAAUACUGGAUACGACAUGUCACCGCAUGGUGGUGUGUGGAAAGGGUUUUACUGGUUUUGGAUGGGCUCACGGCCUAUCAGCUUGUUGGUGGGGUAAUGGCUCACCAAGGCGACGACGGGUAGCCGGCCUGAGAGGGUGACCGGCCACACUGGGACUGAGACACGGCCCAGCCUCCUACGGGAGGCAGCAGUGGGGAAUAUUGCACAAUGGGCGGAAGCCUGAUGCAGCGACGCCGCGUGAGGGAUGACGGCCUUCGGGUUGUAAACCUCUUUCAGCACGGAAGAAGCGAAAGUGACGGUACGUGCAGAAGAAGCGCCGGCUAACUACGUG
rnacentral:rRNA from 1 species